rnacentral:rRNA from 1 species
AAUGCCUAGGAAUCUGCCUGGUAGUGGGGGAUAACGUUCGGAAACGGACGCUAAUACCGCAUACGUCCUACGGGAGAAAGCAGGGGACCUUCGGGCCUUGCGCUAUCAGAUGAGCCUAGGUCGGAUUAGCUAGUUGGUGGGGUAAUGGCUCACCAAGGCGACGAUCCGUAACUGGUCUGAGAGGAUGAUCAGUCACACUGGAACUGAGACACGGUCCAGACUCCUACGGGAGGCAGCAGUGGGGAAUAUUGGACAAUGGGCGAAAGCCUGAUCCAGCCAUGCCGCGUGUGUGAAGAAGGUCUUCGGAUUGUAAAGCACUUUAAGUUGGGAGGAAGGGCAGUUACCUAAUACGUGAUUGUUUUGACGUUACCGACAGAAUAAGCACCGGCUAACUCUGUGCCAGCAGCCGCGGUAAUACAGAGGGUGCAAGCGUUAAUCGGAAUUACUGGGCGUAAAGCGCGCGUAGGUGGUUUGUU